GAUGAACGCUAGCGGCAGGCUUAACACAUGCAAGUCGAGGGGCAUCGAGAGAGUAGCAAUACUUUUGUCGGCGACCGGCGGACGGGUGCGUAACGCGUAUGCAACCUACCUUAUACAGGGGGAUAACCUUUCGAAAGGGAGACUAAUACCGCAUAACAUUACUUUGAGGCAUCUUGAGGUAAUUAAAUCUUCGGAGGUAUAAGAUGGGCAUGCGUAGCAUUAGCUAGAUGGUGCGGUAACGGCGUACCAUGGCGACGAUGCUUAGGGGUUCUGAGAGGAAGGUCCCCCACACUGGUACUGAGAUACGGCCCAGACUCCUACGGGAGGCAGCAGUGGGGAAUAUUGGGCAAUGGGCGAAAGCCUGACCCAGCAACGCCGCGUGAAGGAAGAAGGCCUUCGGGUUGUAAACUUCUUUUACCAGGGACGAAGAACGUGACGGUACCUGGAGAAAAAGCAACGGCUAACUACGUG
rnacentral:rRNA from 1 species